CGGUAAUUCCAGCUCCAAUAGCGUAUAUUAAAGUUGUUGCAGUUAAAAAGCUCGUAGUUGAACCUUGGGCUUGGUUGGCCGGUCCGCCUUUUUGGCGAGUACUGGACCCAACCGAGCCUUUCCUUCUGGCUAACCUUUCGCCCUUGUGGUGUUUGGCGAACCAGGACUUUUACUUUGAAAAAAUUAGAGUGUUCAAAGCAGGCCUUUGCUCGAAUAUAUUAGCAUGGAAUAAUAGAAUAGGACGUUAUGGUUCUAUUUUGUUGGUUUCUAGGACCAUCGUAAUGAUUAAUAGGGACGGUCGGGGGCAUCAGUAUUCAGUUGUCAGAGGUGAAAUUCUUGGAUUACCUGAAGACUAACUACUGCGAAAGCAUUUGCCAAGGACGUUUUCAUUAAUCAAGGACGAAAGUUAGGGGAUCGAAGAUGAUCAGAUACCGUCGUAGUCUUAACCAUAAACUAUGCCGACUAGGGAUCGGGUGUUGUUCUUUUUUUGACGCACUCGGCACCUUACGAGAAAUCAAAGUCUUUGGGUUCUGGGGGGAGUACGGUCGCAAGGCUGAAACUUAAAGGAAUUGACGGAAGGGCACCACCAGGAGUGGAGCCUGCGGCUUAAUUUGACUCAACACGGGGAAACUCACCAGGUCCAGACACAAUAAGGAUUGACAGAUUGAGAGCUCUUUCUUGAUUUUGUGGGUGGUGGUGCAUGGCCGUUCUUAGUUGGUGGAGUGAUUUGUCUGCUUAAUUACGAUACCGAACGAGACCUUAACAUAUUAAAUAGUGAUGCUAGCUUUUGAUGGUAUAGUCACUUAUUAGAGGGACUAUCGAUUUCAAGUCGAUGGAAGUUCGAGGCCAUAUCAGGUCUGUGAUGCCCUUAGACGUUCUGCGCCCCACGCGCGCUACACUGACGGAGCCAUCGAGUCUUAACCUUGGCCGUGAGGUCUGUGAAAUCUUGUGAAACUCCGUCGUGCUGGGGACAGAGCAUUGUAAUUUUUUCUCCUCAGCGAGGAAUUCAUAGUAAGCUCAUCUCAUCAGCUUGCGUUGAUUACGUCCCUUCCCUCUCUACACCCCUCCCGUCGCUAGUUCCGAUUGAAUGGCUUAGUGAGGCCUCCGGAUUGAUGUAAAGAAGGGGGCAACUCCAUCUCGGAACAGAAAAUCUGGUCAAACCAGGUCAAUUAGAUGAAGUUAAAGUCGUAACAAGGUUUCCGUAGGUGACCGAGCAGAAGGAUCAAAGGGUGAAUC
rnacentral:rRNA from 1 species